rnacentral:lncRNA from 1 species
UCAAGUCUUCCCUAAGCAGCCCAAACAACAAAGAAUCCUCGGCCAUUAGGCUAAGAAUAUUUGGGCUGCACAAAUGGAAUCUACUUCUUUCUUCGUCGGACCCUAGACGGGCUCUUUUGGUGGAAGUCCUACCUGGGUUAAAGGUAUAUAACACUUUUAACCCACAUACUAAACAAAAAUGUUAGCACUAUUUAUUUUUAUGCACUUUAUUUAAUCUUUGAAUUUUGUGUUUUUUUUAAAUUAUCGGAAAAAAGAUAGAAAAUGUGAAGAUGUAGCAUUCAAGCAUUGAUGGAUUUUGUUUUAUAUGUCGCAUAAUUAAUUAAUUACAAUUUUUAAAAAUAUUAAAAAAUAAAAAUAAAGGAAAUUAUUAAAAAUUUCAAAAGUUUAUUAAAAAAAAAGGAAAUACAGAAAAAAAAUAUUAAAAAAAUAAAUCCUAAAAACCAUGCAACUCUUCUCACAUGCAAUCUUCAACAGCUUUAGAAAUUAGAACCCAUUUUGUUCAACGCCCGCUUAUCAACCAUGCUUAAAUUCCUUAGCAAGAAAAUCAAGCGCCUCUUUGUUCCCGCCUCUGGUGGCCGUUCGUCAUCGGUUCGUCGCAUCCAGUGAGUUUUCCAACAAAUAUGGGAAAUGGAACCGAUGGUUGCGAGAGAUAUAGAAGCAGAAAGACGGCGAUAAAAGCCUAAAAACUUUGAUGCAUAGUUACAUACAAUUGCUAAUGGGGUGGGGGAGCUACUCUAAUUUUUUUAUAGUUAUUGAUAAACUGAUUAUUGAAUUAUAUGUUAGCAAUAAUUAAAUUGGAAAGAUUGCAAAAGUUCAAAAGUUAAGUGUCGCGAAAUUAAUGUAAAGAGAACUAAUUUGCAAAUAGCAUAAAAAUUAAAAGUGUGAAAUAAAAAUACUUGAAUUGAGAGUUUGAAUGAAUAGUUUAUGAUUGUGAAAUUAGUUCUAAGUGAAAUAAAAGUGAUAAUUUAAUGAAUAUUGAUUUUCAUGAAAAUAAUAAAUAAAUUAUAAAGAAUGUGAAGUUUUAUAUGCUAUUAAUUAAUUCUCUCAAUGGCUUACCUGAGUUUUCUCGAAGAGUUCGACAUCCCAGUGCCGGAUCUUCUGCUGCGCACUAUGGGCUAUCUGGGGAGAUAGGAAUGCUAGGGUUCAUAAGAACGGGGGCAAAUCUGGAAAAGAAAUGGCACGAUAUGUUCAGAGUUACAUAACAGAGUUAAAUGAGGUUGAUAAAAGAAGACCAAAAGUUACCAUAACUGUCAAAAAAUGGAGGAAGCCACCUGACCGGAUUGUUAAGAUCAACUUCGAUGGAGCUUAUGACGAUAUACAAAAUAGAUCGGCAGUGGGUAUAGUGGCCAGAGAUAGAGAGGGUACAGUUCUUCUCUCAUGUGCGAAGAAUCACCACCGAAUAUCAUCAGCUUUUGAGGCGGAAGCAGUCGCAUGUCGGAAAGCUCUCCAACUCGCCAUUGACAUGAAAUGGGAAAGUGUUAUUAUAGAAGGCGACUCUUUUUCAAUUAUAAGAAAAUGCAAGGCAAAAAGUCCAGAUAAAUCCUUGGUAAGUGCAUAUAUCUAUGAUAUUCACUAACUUAAGCUAAAAAUUAAAGAAUGCAGAUUUGAAUAUAUCCCGAGAUCAGCAAAUAGCCUUGCACAUAUCCUAGCAAAGGAAACGCUGAAGAGAAAGAUAGGAGUUUACCUGGUCGGAGGGGUCCCUGAAGUGGCGGAAGAACAAGCGGCAAGUGAAAGGGUAAGAGAACCAGAUUGAAUCGAAAAUGAGGAGGAAGGGAGAUAAGGAGAAUAUGAGAGGGCAGAAACAGAUUAAUUAAAGUCUGCUAGAUUGAAAUCGUCUUGAAAAAGAAAAUGAAGAUUUGAAAUGAAAAGACGAUGGAUCUGACACUGAUUGGGCAAGUGAGCAAGCAACAUUAAAUGCUUUAGAUUUGUUUUGAUUUUUACGGUUUCCUAGGAGCUUUAGUUUUUAUGAUUUAGUUUCUUUUGAAUGGGCCAAGUCCCAUGUCUGGUCUUUCUUUUCUUUAUUUUUAAAAACUAUUUUAUGUUAGUGUGUUUUAUUUAAUAGAAGCCCAAUCUGCAACCUUUUUAAAAAAAAAAAAUUAAUAAGUAAUGGUAAUGAAAAUGACAAUAUAGAUGGCAUGCCAUUAGGAAACUUUCAACGUGCAUAGUGCCGAC